GCCACAUUUCCUGCUUUAUUUUAAAAGGAGUCAGGGAUCUCUGUUAUGAUGUUGUGAAGCUGCACAUCACUCCGGUCAUGAAACCACCCGUGAGCUGUGUCUGAGAGUGACUGAUGUUCUGGUACACACAGUGACAUAUACCUGCGCAAGAACAAGGUCAAGUCCAAGAAAGUAAGUGGCUGCAGGCAUAUCUAGUGCCUACUGAAUCAUAUUUAAACCAAAUAGAGGGGAGGAGGUUAUUUGAAACUAACCAACUGUACCAUCUGUAUGGUGUAUUAUUAAUGUAGCUUUUUG
rnacentral:lncRNA from 1 species